rnacentral:rRNA from 1 species
GACGAACGCUGGCGGCGUGCUUAACACAUGCCAGUCGAACGGGUCUGCCCUGUUUUUUGCGGGGUGGGUCAGUGGCGAACGGGUGAGUAACACGUGAGUAACCUGCCCCUCACUUCUGGAUAACCGCUUGAAAGGGUGGCUAAUACGGGGUGUUCUGGCUGUGCCGCAUGGUGUGGCUGGGAAAGAUUCACUUUUGUGGUGUUUUGGUGGGGGAUGGGCUCGCGGCCUAUCAGCUUGUUGGUGGGAUGAUGGCCUGCCAAGGCUUUGACGGGUAGCCGGCCUGAGAGGGUGGGCGGUCACACUGGGACUGAGAUACGGCCCAGACUCCUGCGGGAGGCAGCAGUGGGGGGUAUUGCACAAUGGGCGGAAGCCUGAUGCAGCGACGUCGCGUGAGGGAUGGAGGCCUUCGGGUUGUGAACCUCUUUCGCCGGUGAAGAAGGUCCUGCUCUUUGUGGUGGGGUUGACGGUAGCCGGGUUAUGAAGCGCCGGCUAACUACGUG